rfam:Ectocarpus siliculosus strain Ec 32, whole genome shotgun sequence assembly, chromosome LG03
ACACGUGUGGUGUAGUGGUAACAUGUAACCCUCCCACGGUUACGCCCGGAGUUCGAUUCUCCGUACGUGUA